rnacentral:rRNA from 1 species
GAUGAAGAACGCAGCGAAAUGCGAUAAGUAAUGUGAAUUGCAGAAUUCAGUGAAUCAUCGAAUCUUUGAACGCACAUUGCGCCCCUUGGUAUUCCGGGGGGCAUGCCUGUUCGAGCGUCAUUACAACCCUCAAGCUCUGCUUGGAAUUGGGCACCGUCCUCACUGCGGACGCGCCUCAAAGACCUCGGCGGUGGCUGUUCAGCCCUCAAGCGUAGUAGAAUACACCUCGCUUUGGAGUGGUUGGCGUCGCCCGCCGGACGAACCUUCUGAACUUUUCUCAAGGUUGACCUCGGAUCAGGUAGGGAUACCCGCUGAACUUAAGCAUAUCAAUAAGCGGAGGA